rnacentral:rRNA from 1 species
UACGUAGGGUGCAAGCGUUAAUCGGAAUUCCUGGGCGUAAAGGGUGCGUAGGCGGCUUAUUAAGUCAGGGGUGAAAGACUGCAGCUCAACUGUAGCAGUGCCUUUGAUACUGAUGAGCUUGAGUACAGAUGAGGCUGGCGGAAUGGGUGGUGUAGCGGUGAAAUGCAUAGAUACCAUCCAGAACACCGAUUGCGAAGGCAGCCGGCUAAACUGUAACUGACGCUGAGGCACGAAAGCGUGGGGAUCGAACAGG